UACGUAGGGUGCAAGCGUUAAUCGGAAUUACUGGGCGUAAAGCGUGCGCAGGCGGUUGUGCAAGACAGAUGUGAAAUCCCCGGGCUCAACCUGGGAAUUGCAUUUGUGACUGCACAGCUAGAGUGUGUCAGAGGGGGGUAGAAUUCCACGUGUAGCAGUGAAAUGCGUAGAGAUGUGGAGGAAUACCGAUGGCGAAGGCAGCCCCCUGGGAUAACACUGACGCUCAUGCACGAAAGCGUGGGGAGCAAACAGG
rnacentral:rRNA from 1 species